AAUCCUCUGUGCAAUGAUUCCAACUCCAGGGAUCAGUGUCUGAAGUGAAGCUACAGAUUGUCUGGUGGAUAAAUAAUCCAAGAAGGAACGGGGGAUGUUAUGACUUUUUGAGAGAAGGCUAACAUGUCAUCCUUGACAGAUAAACUUUAAAAAAUUAUAAUAAUGGAAAUGAAGAAAGAAAACAACAGAAGAUGAGAAUAGCAAAAGAGCUAGACAUUUCCGACAGGAGAAAUGCAAAGGUAGAUAAGAAGAAGGAAAAUGAGGGCCGGCUCAAUGAGAACAAGAGGAUCAACACAAUGUUGAUUUCCAUCGUGGUGACCUUUGGAGCCUGCUGGCUGCCCCGAAUAUCUUCAAUGUCAUCUUUGACUGGUAUCAUGAGGUGCUGAUGAGCUGCCACCACGACCUGGUAUUUGUAGUUUGCCACUUGGUUGCUAUGGUUUCCACAUGUAUAAACCCUCUCUUUUAUGGCUUUCUCAACAAAAAUUUCCAAAAGGA
ensembl:lncRNA NPY6R neuropeptide Y receptor Y6 (pseudogene)